rnacentral:rRNA from 1 species
GACGAACGCUGGCGGCGCGCCUAACACAUGCAAGUCGAACGGAGCUUAGAGAGCUUGCUUUUUAAGCUUAGUGGCGAACGGGUGAGUAACGCGUGAGUAACCUGCCCUAGAGUGGGGGACAACAGUUGGAAACGACUGCUAAUACCGCAUAAGCCCACGGUACCGCAUGGCACUGAGGGAAAAGGAUUUAUUCGCUUUAGGAUGGACUCGCGUCCAAUUAGCUAGUUGGUGAGGUAACGGCCCACCAAGGCGACGAUUGGUAGCCGGACUGAGAGGUUGAACGGCCACAUUGGGACUGAGACACGGCCCAGACUCCUACGGGAGGCAGCAGUGGGGGAUAUUGCACAAUGGGGGAAACCCUGAUGCAGCGACGCCGCGUGGAGGAAGAAGGUUUUCGGAUUGUAAACUCCUGUCGUUAGGGACGAUAAUGACGGUACCUAACAAGAAAGCACCGGCUAACUACGUGCCAGCAGCCGCGGUAAAACGUAGGGUGCAAGCGUUGUCCGGAAUUACUGGGUGUAAAGGGAGCGCAGGCGGGAAGACAAGUUGGAAGUGAAAACCAUGGGCUCAACCCAUGAAUUGCUUUCAAAACUGUUUUUCUUGAGUAGUGCAGAGGUAGAUGGAAUUCCCGGUGUAGCGGUGGAAUGCGUAGAUAUCGGGAGGAACACCAGUGGCGAAGGCGGUCUACUGGGCACCAACUGACGCUGAGGCUCGAAAGCAUGGGUAGCAAACAGGAUUAGAUACCCUGGUAGUCCAUGCCGUAAACGAUGGAUUUCUAGGUGUGGGGGGAUGGACCCCCCCCGUGCCGCGGUUACCCCAAUAGUUAUUCCACCUGGGGAGUCGGACCGCAGGGUUGAAACUCAAAGGAAUGACGGGGGGCCCGCACAAGCAGUGGAGUAUGUGGUUUAAUUCGAAGCAACGCGAAGAACCUUACCAGGUCUUGACAUCCGAGGCAUAGCACAGAGAUGUGUGAAAUCCUUCGGGACAUCGAGACAGGUGGUGCAUGGUUGUCGUCAGCUCGUGUCGUGAGAUGUUGGGUUAAGUCCCGCAACGAGCGCAACCCUUAUUGCCAGUUACUACGUUAAGAGGACUCUGGCGAGACUGCCGUUGACAAAACGGAGGAAGGUGGGGAUGACGUCAAAUCAUCAUGCCCUUUAUGACCUGGGCUACACACGUACUACAAUGGCGUUAAACAAAGAGAAGCAAGACCGCGAGGUGGAGCAAAACUCAAAAACAACGUCUCAGUUCAGAAUGCAGGCUGCAACUCGCCUGCAUGAAGUCGGAAUUGCUAGUAAUCGCGGAUCAGCGUGCCGCGGUGAAUAAAGUCCCGGGCCUUGCACA